CUUAAACUUACAUACAAUUAAGACGACAUAUCUACUCGAAAGAUGAAUUCUUUAAUUAUAUUUUCAGUGAUUUUCUCUAUUAUUAUAGGAGAUAUUUAUGGAAAGAGUUUCGAUUUCCAACAAUUGUUGAAAUUAUCAACGAUUAAGAAGAGAGCUGAAGAAAAUAUCUUGGAAAAUAUACUGGAUACUGAAUUAGAUUCCACACCAUGCCCCGUUAUUGAAUGUCUGAUAAUAACAGAUAGUGCCUACGCUGCAAGAUUUGAUAACGAAGAAGAAAUUACGAUUAUAUAAAUGAUAUAAUUAGUGGAACACAAAAUACUAUCGAUGAAUUAGAACUUAGUAUAACACUUCGUUUGAUUGGACGUAUCUCGUAUACAGUAAGUUAAACAAAUGUUGAAAAGUACCAUUUAUUUUUCUGUUUUUUGUUUAUGCGUAUUAACAUUUAAGAACGAAACCGAACCGGAAUUCAUUAAAAAGAAUCUGUAUACAGAAAGGCACCGUACCAUCAUUCUUACCGAAGUCACUUAUGAUAUGCGUUAUAUGGAGAAGAUUCCCAUUGUAGAAAAGGCCGAUAUUAUUAUUGUGAUUACUGGGUAAAAAUGAAUAAAAAUUUCUGCUGUAUU